rnacentral:rRNA from 1 species
CCUACGGGAGGCAGCAGUGAGGAAUAUUGGUCAAUGGACGAGAGUCUGAACCAGCCAAGUAGCGUGAAGGAUGACUGCCCUAUGGGUUGUAAACUUCUUUUAUAUGGGAAUAAAAUGUUCCACGUGUGGGAUUUUGUAUGUACCAUAUGAAUAAGGAUCGGCUAACUCCGUGCCAGCAGCCGCGGUAAUACGGAGGAUCCGAGCGUUAACCGGAUUUAUUGGGUUUAAAGGGAGCGUAGGUGGAUUGUUAAGUCAGUUGUGAAAGUUUGCGGCUCAACCGUAAAAUUGCAGUUGAAACUGGCAGUCUUGAGUACAGUAGAGGUGGGCGGAAUUCGUGGUGUAGCGGUGAAAUGCUUAGAUAUCACGAAGAACUCCGAUUGCGAAGGCAGUUCACUGGACUGCAACUGACACUGAGGCUCGAAAGUGUGGGUAUCAAACAGGAUUAGAUACCCCUGUAGUC